CUCAGCGCCGCCCCCGCGCCGGACCCCGACCCGGGACGGGUCCUGGCCCCGCCCUCCCUCCGCCCGCGUGCGCCCGGCGGUCCCGGCUCGGCCUCCGGGGCGCACAGACGGACAGAAGGUAGAAUGGCUUCGGGCUGCAUCGGCCGGCGGUAGCGAGAACCCUAGCAAGUCGCUAUAGCCGGAAUCCCCCGGCCUCUACGUCAGAUCACCCUCCGUAUUCGACCGCGCGCCUCAUCCCCCACGAUCCCCCCGCGGCUUGCCCUUCGUUCCUGCUCCCCUGAACAAGAAUCCUGUUGGUCGGCCCAGCAAAGAAUUACCUACCCUCUUAGGGAUUUUUCCAUCCGCUGCCCCGACCCCCGCCUCCCCACCUUGGCUAGAAAUCCCCCUCGGCCAUGCUGUGUUUGCAAGGGACCCUGCUUCUGUACCGAGGUCUCUUUCUCCCUCUGUUGCAAAGUCCUAAAUAAAAUCUCUUCUUACUGCUAA